rnacentral:lncRNA from 1 species
AUGAGUGACAAGGCUUUAUUGAACAAAGAAAAGAUCUUAAAUCUUUUCAACAAACAAUCAAAAAUAACAGAGAAAAACUGUUGCUCAGUGAACAGAUUCACUGCAGACUGUUUUAACCAGUAUAGUAAGACAGAUGGGCAGCACAAAAUGAAACGACUAAAGACUCGCAAGGAGAGGAGUCACAUGAGAGGUGGUGGUCAAGAGGCUUCAAAGACCAAAUCACAUCACCCUCAUUGCUGUUGGCAAAGCAGAAAAGACAUGGCAUGUUUCCAUAACUGUUGUUACAGUCGUUGUCCAUGUUCUUCAAAGAGAAAUGCACCAUUUCCAAAUGCCAUUCCUGCUACACAGGAGCCCAGCAUUAUCACAGACAACCGCUUAAUAGGACACCACGGCCUCUUCAACCAUGAGGUCAAGUCGACUGACAUUGAACGCUUGUUAAGUGAUCAAAGAAAAGUCGAGAAAAGUGGACAGCAACUACACAAAGAGAACCAUGCUGUGUCAGAUCCAUCUUCAACAUUGCUCAUUGCUUCUCCACUCUCCCAUAAUGAUUUGUUGGGUGCUAAUACUAACAGGGUUGUGCCAUUUGAAAAGAAAGCAGACCCUGCUACAAAUACUCAUGAUGAGUGCUGGGAGAAGAAACUCAGUCACGGAUCAGAUAUUACAUCAGGCCAGAGGCCACAGCAAGAACCUUAUCUUUCUUCUGGAAGCCACAAAAGCAUCUUCUCAUCUAAACGCAGCUCCCAUAAGGAAGUGAAGAGCAAGAAGCCAAACUCUGUCGUGUGUGAUAAGGACAGAAAGUCACUUCUGUCUCCUCCUGUUGAAAAUAUGAAGAUAUUAAACCAGAUUUCUACUUUUGAGCACACCCCUAAGAAGCAAGAGCCUCCUGCCCAACAGAACCAAGCUCAUGGUCUCCACUCAAGCCCACCUCAAAUCUCUACUUCACCCACUGCUGAUAGCUUUGACAUACAACACAGACAAGAUCCCAACCAUGUAUUUAAUUCUGUCAGUGUAAUGGCAGCGCGUUUGUGUGAUUCACUGCACUUUCCAUUUUUGACGAGGAGAAAUCUGGCAACAGAAAGUAGGGAGGUGCUUUUGAAAGCUCUGCAGGAGAGGCAUGGACCCCAACUUCAUGAGAACCUCCUUAAGGUGCAGCAAUGCCUC